CCUCCCCUGUCUUUAGUAUUCUUCCUCUUCCAAAAAUCUUGUCUAAUUAAACAAUGGAAACUCUAAUUCUUCCAACAAACGUAUUCUAUGAUACGCAAUACUUAUCUUGAUAUAAUCUAUACAAUUGAGGUUAGCUCAUGGCAGAAUUAAUUCCUAGUUUCGCCCUUGUUCACACAAACGGAUACCGACCCGGCCUUUUAUGUCUCCCUUUGGAUGGCAGUGAACUGAAAGUGAUAGUUGUUCGACUACAGGGGAGCGAGCAAUUCGCUUUGGAAACAUUAUUUUGCAUGGGGUGCAAACAGGUGGCAACCUUGAAACGGUUUGCCAUGAUAAGAUUGAACAAACAUCAACAUUAGACUUUUAUAUCCUGAAUGAGGAGACGGCAUCAGAUUGGUACGAUACGUUUUUGUCGUUUGGGUUGUCAAGCCUUUCCCGAGGGGUUGAAACUCUUACUUUGCUCGUCCUCUCUGAUAAGGAAAAUAGUGGUUCCAUACGAACAAGAAGGUGUGCUUUUUGAUUUGAAGACCUUAAUCAUUGAGGUGAUCGAGGCUAUGUAAGAGAAUAUAUUAAUUGGUAUUGCCUUCUAUGCACUUAGAAGAUGCCCACACAUUAGCGCCCUACAUAUUGUGUCUACGGGUGACCCCAAUAGGAGAAAGUCUUUCCAGUUUCAAUACAAGUUUAAUAGUGUAGAGAAUCAUCAGUUAUGCUGUGCUGUCGUGAAGGCGAAGAGAAAAAUCUGCAAAAAGUCAUUUGUAGCAAACUCACCGAAAUGGAAGAAAAUCACUUGAUAAUGGGCUUGCAUUUU